rnacentral:sRNA from 1 species
AUGUACGCAUUCAUGCAUUGCGGCUUCGCGUUGCCCACACCCACCUGACGCCUGCCGCUAUGUCCUGUCAGCC